UACGUAGGGUGCGAGCGUUGUCCGGAAUUAUUGGGCGUAAAGGGCUCGUAGGCGGUUUGUCGCGUCAGGAGUGAAAACUCGGGGCUUAACCCCGAGCCUGCUUCUGAUACGGGCAGACUAGAGGUAUGCAGGGGAGAACGGAAUUCCUGGUGUAGCGGUGAAAUGCGCAGAUAUCAGGAGGAACACCGGUGGCGAAGGCGGGUCUCUGGGCCGUAACUGACGCUGAGGAGCGAAAGCAUGGGGAGCGAACAGG
rnacentral:rRNA from 1 species